UGCUGGUUCUGCUCUCCAGGGCUCCCUGUCCCCUGCAGGUCCCAGCCAUCUCAAGGUGUGCUGCUUCCAGGACACAAAGCUGGGGAGGAGCUGGCAAGUGCUGCUGCAGGAGCUGAUGGCCACAACCACAACUCUUUUAAUUGUACCCUGUUUUACCAACAUGCAGUUUUACCAAGAUAUCCCAAAAGCCCACGAGCCAUGCUGACUAAAGUGCACUGUGUUCACAUGCAGAAAUCUGUUCUACAGACUGUGGUUUACAGCUCAAUACACCAACAGGUUCUUUCUCACUAUCUGGAGGUAUCCAAAUCUGCUCCUAUUUUGUUAUCCUACUGAUUUAAUUCAGUGGAGUGUGCAGAAAGUGGUUCUGUCAACACUAACUGUGGAGUUACACACAAUAGUCAUAUUUUUUAUUCUGACUCCCUGGAUUUAUUUACAUGUUGUUACGGGGUGGUUUUUUGUUUUUUGGUUUUUGUUUUUUUUUUUUACAGUGCUAUAUUACAACUUUUAGCACAUAACUAUCCCUAAUGAGCAGACAUUUUAUUUGAAAUUUACUGCAGAUUAAAUUUAUAGAUUGAGAGCAUAAAGGCACAAAGGACUUGUAGGAAUUUUAGCCUUAAAGUUAAUAUGUCUUACCAGAUGGCAGGAAUUUUAGACAGACUGUGAAAUAAAUAGGAAGUUCACACUUCCUGAUAUAAACAGGGCAUGAAAACAUGCAAUCCAACAGAGUGUAUAAUAACCAAUGAAGAAUAAAGAGAAAACUCUCAAGGGCUAGAAAAUAUGUGGUGUCCAACUAUGCCUGAGAUUGGGAUGUAAGUACCCUCCUUACAGCAAGGCAGGAAUCCACUUACGGAACCGCCUGUGAGACUGACCUAACCUCCUCCUGCUGUGCCCACCCUGCAGAGCCUCUUUGGGGUGUCCUGUCCAAACCAGGCCAGGUCUGGUGACAUCAUGAAAUGGGAGAUGCCCAUCAGCUCCUCUUUAGCCACGACAGAGCUUUGGCCACCUGUCUGUCCUAUGCUUGAGAAGGUAUUCAGGAUGUUGACGGAGUAGAGUGGGACUUACCUGCUAAAACUUGGCAACGCAGGCUCGCCUGUUCUCCAUGGGAGAGUGCAGCCCUCCGUGCUUGACUGGCUGAGGACCAUUUUCCUCUGGCUCCAACAGGAAAACCAGCACAGGUGACCUCCCUGGCAGCAGCAUAGGUGACCUCCCUGGCUGGUUUCAGGUUCCUGAUUUGUUUAGUCAGCUCCAAUGCCUUGGUACUUUCUCAGACUGCUGCCAAGGCUGUACAUGGUUUGUUUGUAUCGUCGGCCUCUGCGGGACCAGGCUCUGCUCCACACCUCUGAUACCAGGUCUGAGCAGCUUGCUCCUUCCCUUGUCACUAAACUAAACUUGAUGACACAGUGCCCAGUAAUUUUUUUGUUUGCUUGCUUGCUCUUUUCUCAGCAAAAAUGGUACCCAACUGGCUGUGUUAUCAAGUGCAACUAUCCUGCACUGCUGGACACAUGCCAGGGAUGCAGAAGCAGAUUUCACAGGGAUUGUGGUUCACUCUGCUGUUGUCUUUUCCACAGUCCAGAAAUUCCACAAGGCUUGAAAAUUAAGGGCUACCAGAAGUUAUCUCUCUGGCAUCUCACAAAACUGAGAUCCUUCAGCUGCACCAGGCAGAGAGAUGCCCUUGAUGUCUGAAUGACUGCUUAAUGGUGCUCUCUGCAUCCCCUGUCUCCAUUUCUGUGCCCUCCUUGUUUCAAGAGACAUACAAACCUCUCUGUUGUCAUUGGGUUCCAAAGGUCACAAUUCAUCUGUCGAUAUAAAUUGAGUGUAGCUUUGUUGAAAUUGGUGAUUGUGGUUCCCAGCUCUUUUGCAUGAUGGCUAAUCAAUUGCAGUAUUGUAAAAGAAGGUAGAUUAAGCUACCAAGUCUGUAUCAGAUUAUCAGAUCACAGUUGUGCCUGGUGUGAGAGGCAGGCAACAAACCAUCAGACCCACCAGAACUGCACAUAUGAAUUAUGCAACUCUUGUGUGAGUUGUCACGUCUGUGAGCACGGGCACCGUGAGACAACAGCCCUGUGGUAGCAACAGACAGCUGAGGGAAGGAAGAUCUUCUUUGUGUGUGCACUGCUAAAUAAUUCAAAGACAAGAUAAACAGCACCUAUAGAUGCAUCUUUUCUUAAUUUCACAGUAUUGAGUCAAGAUACUCUAAGUCAGAUAUGGGCAUUUCAGAUCCUUUUAGGCACCCAUCAAGCCACCAGUUACUAAAAGAUAAGGGAGAUAAGACAAAUUCUAUACAUCAGUUGUUUUCUGUUAUUGAGCUUUACAUACGUUAGUUUUUCUUUCAGAAUUCCAAGAGUAAGGAAAUGAUAUUGUAUAUUUCUUGCAAAGUUAACCUUUGAUAGUGAUAUUGAGUCAACACAUUGUAUUCACACCUUAAGGACCAUUGUAAUUCCAGGAGCUGGGAGAUGAGAAGGCAGUAAAUAAUAGUAUACAGGGUAAGCUCUUUUUCAUUUUUAAUGGGAAAAUAUUUCAACCAUGGUGAUGCAGUUGACAAAUAUUUGGUUUAGCAUAAAAGAAAAAGGAGUCAAAAAGAGACUGAAAUGCAUAGUCAUAUAGGAAAUAAAAAACCUAAUCAAUAAGUAGUCACAAAAACAGUGAAAAACUUAUCAUAUAGUGUUCUUAAAUUAAAAUGUAGAACGUGCACAUGUAUCCCCCAAUCUGCUCGAUAUUGUUUCUAGAGAAUAAAUAAUCUGUAGAUUUGUUGGGGUAACACAAUUUGCUAUUUCCUGGAAUAAUUGCCCACAAACAUGAUCUUGACCCCUGUGUUAAAGUAAUGAACUCCUGCCUGUGUAUGGAGGGUGAUCCCAGGGACGGAUGGUUACAGAAACGUUGGAUUUGGAUAUUAGACACACAUGUCCCUAGCAGGAGUUGUGGUUUUUCUCCUCAUGUGGAUUAAAAACCUACUGACAGCCUUCAGAGUUGCUAAUUUAGGCCUUUCUGAUUACAAGUUCCAGGCAAUUCCAUGUUUUGCUUCAUCGUAUAAUUCUAGGAAUGGUGGUUUUCUGAGAAAAACAAGCUCAUAAGGCUUUGGAACUCUCUCUCUCUCAUGGUUUCUGUGCAUGCAGAAUUGGCAAACCAGCACAGAACAUAAUAAGAAUGAAGUUCAAUCUGUAGUAGUUUUACACUCUAUGUUUUUAAGUCUGCAAUCAUUUUUCUGAAAACAUAUGAACAGAAAUCCUUGUAAAGCUCUUUUCUGUACAAUUUUCAGCCAUAACUAUAGUAGCACAAGCAAAAGCUUGUUAGCUUCAGUCACGUUUUUUCUUAUGAAUUUUAAAAACCAUGGUGCUGGUCUUCCAGAGACAUCCAUUUGCACAUAGAUCUCAUUGAAGGCCUGGGACCUGCAUUUAAUAUGAUUCCAUUCUGUAUCUAAUUACACUCCCAUUUCACAUUAAAUGAAGGUGGUAAGUUGGUUCAAGGUCAGCAAUUUAUUUAUUAAUAAUAAUAUUUGUAAAUAUCCUCAAAAUCCAAUUCAAUAGGAAUUUGAGGACCUCAAAAAUGCAAAGAUCUGGAGAGUUUAUACCCUGAAAAAUUGCCUGGUAUCAUGAAUGUUGAGGUAUGAAAUUGUAUCUGUACUGUAAGAACCUGCAGUUAUUUGCAGUGUAGUAAUUUUUGCCCCCUGUAUGACCAUACCUUUUAAAUUCAAGUGUCUGAUAAUACAGAUGAGCAAAAUCAAACAGACAGGUAGUUCAAACAGAAUCUGUAGAGAGGACAGCAGUAACAUGUAGAUCUUUUUGAAAAUAUUCAAUCUAUAGAACUGGGAUUUUAAAGAGAGAGACUGGAAAAAUAAUCAGGCUCAUCUGAUAUGCAGAGGAAAAAAUGUCAACCUGAGGGUAGCAUCUUCUAGAACAAAAUCUACAUAUCCAGAGAACUUCCUUGAACUGAAACAAGCUGCAAGAUGGGCUCAUUUCUUAAAAUAUUAAUAGUAAACUUGGGUGAGACAUUCUUAUUAUGCUUUCACUGAUGCAAACUCAUUAAAUUGCAAUGAUAAUAAAUCUUGAGAGAUUAAAUUUAUAACAGAAUAUCGGAUGGUUGUUUCUGGGUUUUCUAAGACCCUGAGAGUGGUUUGGCAUGCAGCUGAACCAUCAUUUCUCUUUGCUGACAGCCCGGUUUUCAUUCCCAGGCUUUGUGCUGCUGUGCACCAAAUGACACUGUCCAGUUGGGGGUAUUUUUAGUCUGCUCUGUAGCAGAUGCAGGCUGGCACAUCCCUGCCCACUCCAGUGAUGUGGGUCACAUUCCCAGCAGGAGCCACACCAAGAGAGGAGGAAGGAAGCCACUUGCAGAAAUGGGAGUGGUGCACAGCCCAAGCCUCAGAGCUGUGCUUUAGUGGGUCAGCUGCCAAGAGCUGCGUGUGAGAAGUGCUUUAAAGCUGUCUUUGCUUCCCUUCAGGGACUCGACUUGCAAUUGAAAUAUCACACGUGGGGAAUUUGCCAGAGCUUUGAAUUAAUAUGCACGUGACCAGAACAGUUAAAGUCACCUCCUGUUUGGUGCUGAGAUUCCUCAUCCUCACAUGUGUAUUCUGUUCACUGCAGCAGUGACGGACGUCUGGAGAAAACCCCAUUUCCCAGGCUGGUGGAGUCACCUUAUGAAAACGAGACCAGGACAGCUGGAUCACAGACCUGCAAACCAGGCAAGGAAUCUUGCUCUUAUAAUUCAGGGUAAAUAUGCAAAUUAGGAAGCCACUAUUUGGUCAAUUGAAUUGCAUCUCAGGCUUGCUGCAACCUGUUUGUGGUUUCAGUAGAAUGAAAGAAGAGGAUCACUGCAAAACACAACUCACCACAGAAAUGUUGUGCAGUGUGGGGACAGAAUUUGUUCACCUAGUGCACACACAGCCUCAUGGUUUGUUUCCAAUGGAAGCCACCAGCAGAUAAUUUGGAGGAAAGAAGACCCAUAGGUAAAAAAUAAUCUGCUGUAUGCAUUAGAUCUCAGUCUUAAAUCUGUUUGUAUGGCAAAAACAUGAAGCGUUACAUUUUCAUAUACUUCCCACAAGUUUUUAGUCAAAGAAAUUACUGCUUUCCAGUCCCACAGAUAACAAUUUAGCCACUGAAACUCUUCUGAAUCUUGUGAAACUGUUGGUCUCAAUGAUUUUUCUUAAGAAUUAGGUUUUAUAAUAUAAUUACAUGUUUAUGUUAUUAUUGUUAUUUUUUCCCUUUCACAACAAAUUUUUCUUUGUUCCUGUUACAAGACAGCAAGGACUGAGGUUCAAGAUCUACCUUUUCUGUAACAUGCUGCAAUUUUGUUGUUGUUGUUGUUGUUUUUUGGGGGUUUUUUUUGUGUGUGUAUUUUUUGGGGUUUUUUUGUUUGUUUCAUUUUUGUUGGGUUUUUUUUUCUUUUUGUCAAGGCCUUUCAUGCCUGAUUCAUUUUUAAGGUAAAAACCAAACAUCUUUCACUUUGCCCUUCCCCUUGCCCAGGUAAUUCUUCUCACCCUUUUAUUAAUUUCACCUGUUCCUAAGGUAUCCUUUAUUGAGAUUGUUGCCACUUGUAUCAUUACAUUUCCUUCUAUAUGUAAAUACUGAUUUAUCUAACAUUCUUCAACUUCUUAAUUAUCAUUUCUUAUGCACACCAAUAUUUUGUUUACUUGUUUUGACCACAGCUAAACAUGACCUCAGUCUGCUCUCUAAGUUGGGACCAUUUAUAAGAAAGAAUCAUACAAGUAACUCCUCUUCUUCCCUUCCAUAGAUCAACACUUUGUACAUAACAAAUUUGAUUUUUGUGUGCCAUCAGCCUGCCCAGGUGAUGCUACCCAGCUGGGUCUUUUGAAAUUCUUUCUAGGCCUCUCCAACCCUCACAUAAAUAACCUGUUAUCUACAGAUUUUGCUGCUCCCUUGUCAAAUUUUGCUUUUUUCCAAAUCAGUGAUAAAUAGACUAAAUCACAGAGCUAUUAUUUUAUUUAGUACAAUUGCUAGUAUAAUUCCAAUCUAAAAAAUCUCUAGUUUGACAAUUUUAUCUCUCUGAAAUUUAGCCUGUUUCCUACUUGUGUUUUAAACUUCAGUAGCCAUUACCUUUGUAGAAUGGCAAGUAAUUAAAACAUGUUUAAAGCUCA